ACUCGUAGAUUCGCAGUUCCAGCUGAAUGCAAUCUGUGCAUCGAUAAGAGGAAAAUGUGCGCGAGUACAGAACCGCGCGAGCGUAAGCUCGCGUUUAUACGUGUGUGUCGGAGAGAGAUUUCUGGCAUUAGUGUUCUCGGUACCAUAUUCGAUAUAAUUAAAGUGCAUAAAUAAACACAAUGGUACAAGGACCGGUUAGAAAGGGCGAGAAGCAGUGGCGCAGCGGUGGCAGUGGCUACGUAGAAGGGAUACUCGCUCGAAAUGGACAGAACUUUCCGGUAGGCCUAACAUACAAAACUUCACUUUUUGAGAAUAAAGCCCGUCUACGAGGAAACUCGAGAAUUUCUGACCCUUGGACACGUUUGGAAUCAAUAGCGAGCGCAACAAUCAUUUUCGUGGCGGAUUACAUCGCGUAAUUGCGAACAAGUUUCGAAAGGACCGAAACAUCAUGCAACGAGGAGAGUUCGAUUUGUAUCUCAUCGGGCACAGCCGAUCCGAACUUCGUCCUGAGAGAGCCGACUGUUUACGAUUUUCGAGUCGAUGGCAACGUGAAAUCCACACGAAUGAUGUUUACAUUUACGUAUGGUACACACCCUACCCACCGCCUACUUGAACCGGAUUACUAACUGUAUAUGUGUACAACUGUUUCCAGGAAUUCGAAUGAAAAGACCGCGUUCAAUUACGGGAGACAGAUCCGAGUAACGGCGAUAAUCGAAACGCGAAUACCAACGAUCACCGCUCGAACGCGCGUAAACAUUUUCCUCGAUUUGUUUCGAUUCGACGUUAUUAUCUACCAAGUAAUUGUUUACUUGAAUCGUCUCGUUCAAACUAAUAAAAGUCGACCUUUACGCAAACGAGUGUUCUCUUAUUUUCGAAAUCGUAUUUUACUUUUAGAGAGCUUCGAAACUUGCUUCGUUAAAUGGGUGAGUGCAGCUCGUUUACGUACACUCGCUCACACACACACACAUACACAUAUUGCGCGCGCAAACAUCUAUCCAUUCACGAACAAAGUUCAAGGUAAAGAAGAACAAACGACAAUGUACUUAUUCGUUUGUUCUUUAAUUUAGUUCAAUCAUGGCAUGAGGUAUUAAAAACCGAUUCGAUUGACGUCCAGUCAUAAACAGUUGUCGAUUCCAGCGAUAACAAUCGAUCGAUUUACGUAAUGUUUACAUAAUGUAAAAAUUUCGAUACAAAUCAUAUCAUAUAUAAUCAUAUAUAAAUAGCAAUUUCUGAUGUAUCGUUCUUAAACAACGGACACUUGGUUAAGCGGCAACCAGACUGGUUCGUGUGUUUUUUCGCUCGUGCUCGAUUUUUAUCUGCAAUGCUGUACCGAGACAACCGACUCGCGAACUAAACAAGUAUCGUUCGACAACAGUACCAAUCGAAUCAAUUUCUUCGCACGGUUCGUCGUGAACGAAUAAAUGCGUGCACGUUUACGUCAACUCGUGUUUACGAUAAACCUUAAAGAGCCAAGAAAGAAAGAAAGAAAGAAAGAAAGAAAGAAAGAAAGAAAGAAAGAAAGAAAGAAAGAAAGAAAGAAAGAAAGAAAGAAAGAAAGAAAGAAUAAAGCUGACGGUAGAUUCGCGACAACAAAGAAUAGAAUCUCAGGGGUCGGGUUGGAGGUUUACGGGAAGAAGAAGUGUCGAAAGGUAUCGAAAGGAAUCGAGUGUGUUGAACUUACCGUGAA